AUAACUUUCAAAUGAGAAGGAGAGAGCAAAUACAAGAAAAUCUUACUCUAAGCACCAAAAGGGUGUUUCUCUAGCCCUAUCAUCUUUUCUUGCAUGGGAUUCUUCAUGAGCCUUUGCUAACACUUUUCAAAGGUAUCAAUAACUCCUCAUUAUGCUCCUUCAUUUUGGUCCCAUCUUUUACUUCUGAUCAACUGUAGCAGAGCAGAGGUUCCUUGUAAUAAUUAGGUGGGUUCAAACUGCCUCAAUUGCCCUUCAACAUGGGUUCCA
rnacentral:misc_RNA from 1 species